GAGCGGGUUGCCGGGUUCUCUAGCACAGGUGGCGCUCUCUCUCCCGUUGCCUACGAUUUUGUUCAGGGACAGGGAGGAAAUCGCUUGAUCUCAGAGAAGCAGAUGUCCUGCCACCUUCUUGAAUCCUGGUUGGUCUAAGGCCUGACAGCUGCUAUUUCAUGGGGCCACGCGGGCCACUCUGUGGAGCACCCGUGGGGUGGAACUGAAGCCUUCUGCCAACAGCCAGGUUGAAAGCUGAUGCUACGGCCACACCAGGCUUCAGACAGCUGCUGCCCCGACCAACAGCGUGACUGCGACUGCGUGGGAGACCCUGAGCCUCAUAAACCUCUCAGGCAAGCUGCUCCCUGAGAAACCAUGUGACAUCAUACAUAUUUAUCAGUUUAAGUUACUAAGUUUGGGGGCAU